GCCCGCUCAGAAACUUAAAGGAAUUGACGGGGCCCGCACAAGCGGUGGAGUAUGUGGUUUAAUUCGAUGCAACGCGAAGAACCUUACCUGGUCUUGACAUCCCGGAGACCCUUAGGAAACUAGGGGGUGCUUCCAUCUGGAAGAAUCUGGAGACAGGUGCUGCAUGGCUGUCGUCAGCUCGUGUCGUGAGAUGUUGGGUUAAGUCCCGCAACGAGCGCAACCCUUGCCUUUAGUUGCCAGCAGUUCGGCUGGGCACUCUAAAGGGACUGCCGGUGUUAAACCGGAGGAAGGUGGGGAUGACGUCAAGUCCUCAUGGCCUUUAUGACCAGGGCUACACACGUACUACAAUGGCCGAUACAAAGGGCAGCGACACUGCGAGGUGAAGCCAAUCCCGUAAAAUCGGUCUCAGUCCGGAUUGGAGUCUGCAACUCGACUCCAUGAAGUUGGAAUCGCUAGUAAUCAUGGAUCAGCAUGCCACGGUGAAUACGUUCCCGGGCCUU
rnacentral:rRNA from 1 species